GAUCGUAAGACCUAGCGCUGAGAGAGAGUCCUGCGUCUGAUUAGUUAGUUGGUGAGGUAACGGCUCACCAAGACUUCGAUCAGUAGCCGGCCUGAGAGGGCGAUCGGCCACACUGGAACUGAGACACGGUCCAGACUCCUACGGGAGGCAGCAGUGGGGAAUCUUGCGCAAUGGGCGAAAGCCUGA
rnacentral:rRNA from 1 species